CCUACAUGGUAUAGGUAUUGUAGCAUAAUACACCUACAUGGUAUAGGUAUUGUAGCGUAAUACACCUACAUGUACCAUACAUGUAGCGUAAUACACCUACAUGUACCAUAUAUAGGUAUAUUACACUACACCUACUGUAGCACGAUACACCUACUUUAGCAUGAUACACCUACAUGGUAUAGGUAUUGAAGCAUGAUACACCUACAUGGUAUAGGUAUUGUAGCAUGAUACACCUACAUGGUAUAGGUAUUGUAGCAUAAUACACCUACAUGGUAUAGGUAUUGUAGCAUGAUACACCUACAUGGUAUAGGUAUUGUAGCAUAAUACACCUACAUGGUAUAGGUAUUGUAGCAUAAUACACCUACAUGGUAUAGGUAUUGUAGCAUAAUACACCUACAUGGUAUAGGUAUUGUAGCAUAAUACACCUACAUGGUAUAGGUAUUGUAGCAUAAUACACCUACAUGGUAUAGGUAUUGUAGCAUAAUACACCUACAUGGUAUAGGUAUUGUAGCAUAAUACACCUACAUGGUAUAGGUAUUGUAGCAUAAUACACCUACAUGGUAUAGGUAUUGUAGCAUAAUACACCUACAUGGUAUAGGUAUUGUAGCAUAAUACACCUACAUGGUAUAGGUAUUGUAGCAUAAUACACCUACAUGGUAUAGGUAUUGUAGCAUAAUACACCUACAUGGUAUAGGUAUUGUAGCAUAAUACACCUACAUGGUAUAGGUAUUGUAGCAUAAUACACCUACAUGGUAUAGGUAUUGUAGCGUAAUACACCUACAUGGUAUAGGUAUUGUAGCGUAAUACACCUACAUGGUAUAGGUAUUGUAGCAUGAUACACCUACAUGGUAUAGGUAUUGUAGCUCAAUACACCUACUGUAGCAUGAUUCACCUACUGUAGCAUGAUACACCUACAUGAUAUAGGUAUUGUAGCAUGAUACACCUACUGUAGCAUGAUACACCUACAUGGUAUAGGUAUUGUAGCGUAAUACACCUACAUGGUAUAGGUAUUGUAGUGUAAUACAUCUUAUCAUAUAAGUAUUGUAGUGUAAUACAUCUUUAUCAUAUAGGUAUUGUAGUGUAAUACAUCUUUAUCAUAUAAGUAUUGUAGUGUAAUACACCUAUAUCGUAUAGGUAUUGUAGUGUUAUACACUUAUAACGCUCACCAUGACUUUUAAGCAAUUAUGGCAAAAUGUUCUCAUUCACUGAAAUUGCAAGCAUUGCCUGAUUUUGGGUCUCACCUUUCAACACUUUAAGGGGUAAAACACCCUUCCUUUAUAUGGUAUCUGAUUCCCUGGGACAAAGGAUGAUACAUAGGAAAUGUUCUUGAAAUAUUGUCAAUUGUUCAGAAGGAGUAGGCUGAAAAUGCUCAAUUACCAACAUUUGAACUAAGUCUACACUUUUCUUUUACACAAAACUUGAAUACCAGGACCAAUGAUGUUUUGUUGAGAUCUGUGUAAAUGUAGAAAUGAAAUCCCAGUUGUUUCACAAACAUGAAACUAAGUUCUGAUGGGAGGGCCAAAUCACUGAGCCAAUCUUUGUAGCAUGAUGGUGUGGUAAAGUGCGAGGAUCUCAACAAUAUUCAAGUUAUUACUCCAUUUUGGCCCCACAACCAAGCCCCCAGGAGGUCUAAUCCUUCAUUUGUACAAUAAAGGAUGCUUCCAGUCUGGUUUUGAAGAAGUCAUUUGAAGAAACUGUUGAUGGACGACAGAUGCCUUUCUAUAAAAAGGUUGAGCUCAAACUUAUUUCACCAGUAACACUGACAGAACUAUAUUUAACGUAUCAGUACCCUGGAAAUGAAGGAGGUCAUUAAUGAUAAUAAUGAUCAGUAUAAUCAUGCUAUCUUACAGGUCACACCAUCAUGCAUGCUUUGUUGUGUAGCUUUCAAAGGGAUAUAUCAAUUCUGUAGUCCAUAUCAUAUACUCAUCAAAGAUAUUGCACAAGUUGUUGUAAUUAUGACCACUUCCGGUAAGGAGAUCACUUUCACAGUGACUAUAAGUAAGUAUAUUUGUAUCU